rnacentral:rRNA from 2 species
UGCUUUAAAAUUAAAGAAUUUGGCGGUAUUUUAGUCUAUUCAGAGGAACCUGUUCUGUAAUUGAUGAUCCACGUAUUUACUUACUUAUUUUUAUAGUCUAUAUAUCGUCGUAGUUUGAGUAUUUUUAAAAAAUAUUAAUAUUCAAGAUUUUUUAUAAGAAAAAAAUUCAGAUCAAGGUGUAGCUUAUAGAUAAGAAGAGAUGGGUUACAAUAAAUUUAUUUAAAUGAAUUAGUAAAUUAAAAUUUACUAUGAAGGUGGAUUUGAAAGUAAUUUUAUUUAAAUUAAUAAUAUGAUUUUAGCUCUAAGAUAUGCACAUAUCGCCCGUCGCUUUCACUAUAAAGUGGAAUAAGUCGUAACAAAGUAGGCGUACCGGAAGGUGUGCCUAGAAAGUACAAAUUAGAGCUUGAUUAAAAGCAUUUUAUUUACAUUAAAAAGUUUAUUGUAAUUCAAUAUAAUUUGAAUAUAAUAUAUUAUUAAGUAUAUUUAAUUAUAAUUAGUAUUAAAAAAAAUAUAUUUUAUUUUUAUUAUUAAAUUUGAACAAAUAAUUUUUAUUAUAGAGAAUUAGUAUUGUGAAAGAAAUUAUUAAUAUAAAAAAAAGAAAAAAUACAAUUUUGUACCUUGGGUCUCAGGGUUUAUUAAAAAAAGUUUUUAUAUAAAAUUGUCUCGAAUUAAUAAGAGUUAUUAUUAUAUUUUUAUUUUGUAGCAUAAAAAUUAUUAAUAUAAUAAUGGAAGUGAAAUAUUAUUCGAUUAUUAAUAUAUCUAGUUUUUUAAGAAAAAAAUUUAAUUUUUUUAUUAGUUUAAUAUUUUGUUAAAUUUAUUAAUUUAAUAUUAUUAAUAUUUUAUAUUUUAAGGGAUAAGCUUUAAAAUAAAAUUUUUAAAAAUGAUAUAGGUAAAUUGAAGUUUAUUAAGUAAGAUUAAAAUUUUCUAUCUUUAUAAUUAUGUUUUAAUUAGAUAAAUUUAAAAUAAAAUUUUUAUAUAUUUAAAAUAUUUUAUUAAAAUUUAAAUUUUAAUAUUAAAAAUUUAGUAAUAAUGAUAAAAUUAGUAUAAAUUUAAUGUAUAUUGUUUUUUUUAUUAAAGGUUAAAAAAAGGAAUUCGGCAAAUAUAUUUUUCACCUGUUUAUUAAAAACAUGUCCUUUUGAGUAUAAUUUAAGGUCUGGCCUGCCCAAUGAAUUUUUAAUGGCCGCGGUAUUUUGACCGUGCAAAGGUAGCAUAAUCAUUAGUUUUUUAAUUGAAAGCUGGAAUGAAAGGUUAGAUGAAAAAAUAACUGUCUCUUUUUAAAUUAAUUAGAAUUUUAUUUUUAAGUGAAAAAGCUUAAAUAUAAUUAGAAGACGAGAAGACCCUAUAGAGUUUUAUUAGUUAUUAAUAGUAAAUUUUUAGCAUUAAU